rnacentral:tRNA from 1 species
GGGCCUGUAGCUCAGCUUGGGAGAGCGUACGGUUCGCAUCCGUAAGGUCGAGGGUUCGAUCCCCUUCAGGUCCACCA